GUUACAAACCAGCAACCCCAUAUGUGAUGGUACCCAUAUAAAUGCCCAGACUACACAGGCACAGAGGUUACAACUUGGAUGCUGGAGUUAACUUAUUUAAAUACACCAAUCACUAAGAAAAUUCUGCUAAUUCUGGUGUUGAAAUCUUACUGCUUUCCUGUCUACAGGAAGCCUUACCCUUUUACGUUACUGUAGAAGUCCCUGUGUCCCUUAGCAAGUGCCUCUGAUACAGUACUAGAAAAUUCCUAUGAGGAAGAAAGAAAAAAAAAAGAAAAUUAUGGUGAGCUUCAUCUUGCUUUCCACAGCUGACACAGCCCAAGACAAACAGCUGGGUUUUCUGAAGUCAUAUGUUCAUUUCCUGAAAACUCAGUGGAAUGGGAGGACUCAAGGAUCGUGUGUGUGAACCAAAACAAUAUUGUUCUCCUCCCCAGACAAAACCCCAAACAGCCUAGCACUUCAGGCCAUAUGCAGCAUAUGUGUUGGCACCAGAGUCUUGUUUGGCAAAAUUUCUAUAGUUGCUACUUGAAAUAAGAGUGAAAAGAAAAGCACAGCCUCAGCAAGCGAAGUCUUACACACAGCCUGGCUGCACGAUCUGCUGCAGAGGAAUAUAUACACUGAAGAAAUUCUUAAACAUGUAUUCACUUUCAGCAUUUUUCAGUCCACCUUACUC